rnacentral:lncRNA from 1 species
UCCGAACCAUCGCUCUGUAAGGACCACAUUGACGACUUUGUUCCACAAAGGACCAACGCUACGAUACUUUUAGGAUGAAGUUUACCCCGGCGAUCUUGAUUGUAGCCCUGGCAGCAGCACUCCUGGCAGCCGUCAUUGCUGCUGAAGAGAUAACAGCAAGUGGAGCAGGUGGAACUGGAAGUGGAUGCCCGGACACCACAGCAUGCACCAAAAGCUGCAAGAAACAGGGCUUCAGCGUUGGAAUAUGCCUUGAGCCACUACUUACCGUCUGUGCGUGCUUGUAAUACUGAGCCGAUCAGAUAAUUGAGUGGCAAUAAAUGUUUACCGCGUUCAUGAU